rnacentral:rRNA from 1 species
GUGCCAGCAGCCGCGGUAAUACAGAGGGCGCGAGCGUUGUCCGGAAUCACUGGGCGUAAAGGGCGCGUAGGUGGCCACCAUAAGGCCGCGGUGAAAGUUCGGGGCUCAACCCUGAAUCGGCCGCGGCGACUGUGGGGCUAGGGCACCGUAGAGGCAGAUGGAAUUCCGGGUGUAGCGGUGGAAUGCGUAGAGAUCCGGAAGAACACCAGUGGCGAAGGCGGUCUGCUGGGCGGUGGAUCCGCAAGGGUCCAAUAGCCGACACUGAGGCGCGACAGCGUGGGGAGCAAACAGGAUUAGAUACCCCCGUAGUCC